UCCGGGGACGCAUCCACCGGGGCAAUGCCCGCCAUCGGGCAGUGCAGCACGUGGUUGGCGAUGAGUGACGGCAGCGAGAUGAAAAGUGGCAGGUUGGUGACUGCGCAGGUCAGGCGCUGGAUCUUUCGACCUUCGACCGCGGCUGUUUCUCCGCCGGGUGAGGCCAUGCCAACCAGUAUGUGUAUGUGCAGGUGCGGCCAUUCAUCCGCACACUGCUACUGGUGGUGUUCGCCAUAGCGCGUGCCAUGGUGACGGGCACCUGCAAUCCGUGGCACACAGGGCUGCGGUCCGAGCUCCUGGACAUGGCCGUUGGCUGGGAAUCAACUUGAUUUGAGUGGUGUACCACAUGGAUGGAGUUGUGCCAGAGUUUACCUUCAUAAACAUAGUUCGCCCACAAAGUGUCUAGCCAUUCAGCCCUACUCAAAAUUACCAGCGGUGGCGCUGGGAGGUCGUCUGUGCAGGGCCUUGGCUCCACAUUGCUGCCAUACAGCCGUAGUGCCAUGGGGAGUUCACUCUUCCCAUGCAGGGUCUUUUGUACUCCGCGCUCCUCUUAUUGACUUCAGUACUUGUAGAGCUCAUGCUACAUGCCGCCGACAGAAGGCUCCCCUUCUCACGCCAUUAUUUCUGGUAGUACUAAAGUGCGGCUGGUUCAGUGGUUAUCUGCCGCUGCAUCUAUUCAGCUAAUACUAGCAACAAGGGUCACCAGACCAACAAGCUGCUUGUAUGGGAUGUCCUCUUGCAGUUGCAGAUAAAGAAAUUAUUGCUAGGUUAGAUGUUUUGGUCAUCAUGUUGCGCAAUGAUGCUAAGAAAAAUGUGGUGGGAAGCCCAAGAUUCUGAUAGUAGCAGUUGGAGGUGGAUCUGAUGUUGAAAUGGUUUUCUUGGUGAUAUUUCAUUGGACCUGCUCGGUAAACCUGUUGAUGUUCUGGUUGCUGAAAAUUUCACCCUGCUGCGCCUGUGGAAAUAUUUGGAUAAGUGGGCAGAUAUUGGGGAGAACAUUUGUUUUUAGGUCCUUAAGUUUUAUCCUGGUGCCUUUGUUGGACUCAACGAAGCAUUGCUUUCUACGGGCAAUGCAGUUGGUACGCCGGUUCGGUCGGUUGACAACUCUUCUCAACAGGGUUGGGAGAGUGGUUCUGGUGGCAAGGAUGAUCAGAUGGCACUUUCUGCCGUGUCUCUUGAAACAGGACUGCAUACCCCACCUCCUCCAUUGUUCUGGUUUGUGUCGAUAUGUUAAAUUUCCCUUCCUCCAGGACACACAAGCUCUGAUAAAAAUUCUCCUGCCAACGAUAAGGUUGACGAUACAGACAUUGAUGGACUUCUGCUCUUCAGUACAUCUUUCGAGAAAAAGCAAGUUGUUUGUGUUUUGUGUCGAGGUUUGUUCUUUUUGAUAAACCAUCCUUGCUUAUAUGUUUUGUUAUAGUGGGGGUAUGCGGUAAAGAAGCAGUUUACUGAAUCGUCAAUGGUGGCGCCCAAAAGGUUAUUGUGUUA